GUGUGCAGAGCAGAGUCCGGACGUCUUCAUGUGUGUCCUCUGUGUCUCCAGGUGUCCCUCGGCACCAGCGACACGCUCUUCCUGUGGAUCCGGCGGCCUCGCCCGGCGCCGGAGGGGCACAUCUUCUGCAACCCCGUCGACCGGCGGGCCUACAUGGCUCUGCUGUGCUUCAAGAACGGCUCUCUGACGAGGGAACGCAUCAGGAACGAGUGUGCUGGAGGAUCAUGGGAAGGGUUUUCUGCCGCCUUGAGGGACACACCGCUGGGAAACAACGGGAACAUAGGCUUUUAUUUUGACACCAUGGAGAUCACACCUCCUGCAGUAGGAGUUCACCUCUUUGAUUCAGACGACAACAAGGUG